rnacentral:rRNA from 1 species
UAAGUUAUUAAGGGCGCACGGUGGAUGCCUUGGCACUAGAAGCCGAUGAAGGACGUUACUAACGACGAUAUGCUUUGGGGAGCUGUAAGUAAGCUUUGAUCCAGAGAUUUCCGAAUGGGGAAACCCAGCAUGAGUUAUGUCAUGUUAUCGAUAUGUGAAUACAUAGCAUAUCAGAAGGCACACCCGGAGAACUGAAACAUCUUAGUACCCGGAGGAAGAGAAAGAAAAUUCGAUUCCCUUAGUAGCGGCGAGCGAAACGGGAAGAGCCCAAACCAACAAGCUUGCUUGUUGGGGUUGUAGGACACUCUAUACGGAGUUACAAAGGACGACAUUAGACGAAUCAUCUGGAAAGAUGAAUCAAAGAAGGUAAUAAUCCUGUAGUCGUAAAUGUUGUCUCUCUUGAGUGGAUCCUGAGUAAAACGCGGAGCACGUGAAUUCCGUCGGAAUCUGGGAGACCAUCUCCUAAGGCUAAAUACUCUCUAGUGACCGAUAGUGAACCAGUACCGUGAGGGAAAGGUGAAAAGCACCCCGGAAGGGGAGUGAAAUAGAACCUGAAACCGUGUGCUUACAAGUAGUCAGAGCCCGUUAAUGGGUGAUGGCGUGCCUUUUGUAGAAUGAACCGGCGAGUUACGAUUUGAUGCAAGGUUAAGCAGUAAAUGUGGAGCCGUAGCGAAAGCGAGUCUGAAUAGGGCGUUUAGUAUUUGGUCGUAGACCCGAAACCAGGUGAUCUACCCUUGGUCAGGUUGAAGUUCAGGUAACACUGAAUGGAGGACCGAACCGACUUACGUUGAAAAGUGAGCGGAUGAACUGAGGGUAGCGGAGAAAUUCCAAUCGAACCUGGAGAUAGCUGGUUCUCUCCGAAAUAGCUUUAGGGCUAGCCUCAAGUGAUGAUUAUUGGAGGUAGAGCACUGUUUGGACGAGGGGCCCCUCUCGGGGUUACCGAAUUCAGACAAACUCCGAAUGCCAAUUAAUUUAACUUGGGAGUCAGAACAUGGGUGAUAAGGUCCGUGUUCGAAAGGGAAACAGCCCAGACCACCAGCUAAGGUCCCAAAAUAUAUGUUAAGUGGAAAAGGAUGUGGCGUUGCCCAGACAACUAGGAUGUUGGCUUAGAAGCAGCCAUCAUUUAAAGAGUGCGUAAUAGCUCACUAGUCGAGUGACACUGCGCCGAAAAUGUACCGGGGCUAAACAUAUUACCGAAGCUGUGGAUUGUCCUUUGGACAAUGGUAGGAGAGCGUUCUAAGGGCGUUGAAGCAUGAUCGUAAGGACAUGUGGAGCGCUUAGAAGUGAGAAUGCCGGUGUGAGUAGCGAAAGACGGGUGAGAAUCCCGUCCACCGAUUGACUAAGGUUUCCAGAGGAAGGCUCGUCCGCUCUGGGUUAGUCGGGUCCUAAGCUGAGGCCGACAGGCGUAGGCGAUGGAUAACAGGUUGAUAUUCCUGUACCACCUAUAAUCGUUUUAAUCGGAUGGGGGGGGACGCAGUAGGAUAGGCGAAGCGUGCGAUUGGAUUGCACGUCUAAGCAGUAAGGCUGAGUAUUAGGCAAAUCCGGUACUCAUUAAGGCUGAGCUGUGAUGGGGAGAAGACAUUGUGUCUUCGAGUCGUUGAUUUCACACUGCCGAGAAAAGCCUCUAGAUAGAAAAUAGGUGCCCGUACCGCAAACCGACACAGGUAGUCAAGAUGAGAAUUCUAAGGUGAGCGAGCGAACUCUCGUUAAGGAACUCGGCAAAAUGACCCCGUAACUUCGGGAGAAGGGGUGCUCUUUAGGGUUAACGCCCAGAAGAGCCGCAGUGAAUAGGCCCAAGCGACUGUUUAUCAAAAACACAGGUCUCUGCUAAACCGUAAGGUGAUGUAUAGGGGCUGACGCCUGCCCGGUGCUGGAAGGUUAAGAGGAGUGGUUAGCUUCUGCGAAGCUACGAAUCGAAGCCCCAGUAAACGGCGGCCGUAACUAUAACGGUCCUAAGGUAGCGAAAUUCCUUGUCGGGUAAGUUCCGACCCGCACGAAAGGCGUAACGAUUUGGGCACUGUCUCAACGAGAGACUCGGUGAAAUCAUAGUACCUGUGAAGAUGCAGGUUACCCGCGACAGGACGGAAAGACCCCGUGGAGCUUUACUGUAGCCUGAUAUUGAAAUUCGGCACAGCUUGUACAGGAUAGGUAGGAGCCUUUGAAACGUGAGCGCUAGCUUACGUGGAGGCGCUGGUGGGAUACUACCCUAGCUGUGUUGGCUUUCUAACCCGCACCACUUAUCGUGGUGGGAGACAGUGUCAGGCGGGCAGUUUGACUGGGGCGGUCGCCUCCUAAAAGGUAACGGAGGCGCUCAAAGGUUCCCUCAGAAUGGUUGGAAAUCAUUCAUAGAGUGUAAAGGCAUAAGGGAGCUUGACUGCGAGACCUACAAGUCGAGCAGGGUCGAAAGACGGACUUAGUGAUCCGGUGGUUCCGCAUGGAAGGGCCAUCGCUCAACGGAUAAAAGCUACCCCGGGGAUAACAGGCUUAUCUCCCCCAAGAGUUCACAUCGACGGGGAGGUUUGGCACCUCGAUGUCGGCUCAUCGCAUCCUGGGGCUGUAGUCGGUCCCAAGGGUUGGGCUGUUCGCCCAUUAAAGCGGUACGCGAGCUGGGUUCAGAACGUCGUGAGACAGUUCGGUCCCUAUCCGUCGUGGGCGUAGGAAAUUUGAGAGGAGCUGUCCUUAGUACGAGAGGACCGGGAUGGACAUACCUCUGGUGUACCAGUUGUCGUGCCAACGGCAUAGCUGGGUAGCUAUGUGUGGACGGGAUAAGUGCUGAAAGCAUCUAAGCAUGAAGCCCCCCUCAAGAUGAGAUUUCCCAACUUCGGUUAUAAGAUCCCUCAAAGAUGAUGAGGUUAAUAGGUUCGAGGUGGAAGCAUGGUGACAUGUGGAGCUGACGAAUACUAAUCGAUCGAAGACUUAAUCA